rnacentral:lncRNA from 1 species
CUAGGAUGAGCAGCCGCCACCGCUGCAGCCGCCGCCGCCGCCGCAGCGCCUCAGUGCGGCCCCGCCCCCGCCUCCCCACCGCCUUCACCACCACCGCGCUCCGGUACCGCCCCCUCCCGCCAAUCGGACAGCUCCGGCCACGCCCCCGGGGCGCUAGCCCGCAGCCAAUGAGCAACUAGAGCCCGGCUGGGAGCUGCGCCGGCCAAUCACAGAGGCCGAGGACGCCUUGAAUCUCCGGGCAAGUUAAGUUUGUCUCCGAGGCUCCGAACUGAAGGGAGCUGGCGGGUUAGUUAGGUAGUGAAGUGGGAGGGAAUAUAGUUUGUGCUGCUCCGCCAAUAGGAGAAAGAGGGUGUGUUGUAUGCAAAUUAUCCCGGGGAGCCCAGCCCCUUAUCUAAGGCAGGCCACGCCCCCUUCCCUAGGUCCCUGCAGAAAUGCACGAGAGGGCCAAAGAAACAGGUUUAUCCUCUUCACCCAAAAGCCCUUUCUGAGACGGCUGGCCAGACACACACAGAGCACAGAGCCCUGCUUGGGAAGGAAGGUUCAGAGAACAAAUUGCCUUUUAAAACUGUUGGGCUGGACCUGCCUCUUCCAAAGCUAAAAAUGGUGAGUCAGGAUUUUGGCGUCCAUGCUCUGGGGAGAGAAGGCAGAUGUAAUUGGGGAAAGCUCUGGCUGGCAGGGUGUUGGGGUACAGGCGAGUUGGGGAGCCAGGUCUCCCAAGGGGGCCAGCAAUGCGCGUGCUAGUCGAUUGCGGGCUCCCGACGCGAGACACCCCAAAACCUGCUCCCCAGUGAGAACAAAGGCAGGCGCGGAGCGAGAACCUGAUUGGUGCCCGGUCCUCACCGGUGUCCUCCGGGCCCCGGAGAUAACUUGCUUCACCCACUGGCGCGGAGCUCCGUCUCACUGGAGCCCCAGCUCCCCACCCGGCCUUGGCUGUGACCACACAGGACUGUGCGUUAUGACAUCACCUGUUUUCGCUCUUUAGAACACGAUCAGUAUUCUCGGCUUCUCCUUUUUUAAAGGUCUCUAGUGCACAAGGAUUUGCGAAGGCCUGCCGUUCACAGAAUGAAUCUGUGGAGAUGAUUUAAAAGAACGACUUCUUUUUCUUUCUCUGGGGGCCACCCAAAGCCUUUGGAUUGCAGGUGCUUCAACAACAUCAUUCUACCCGGAUUCCAGAGUGAGAUCAGACUCAAGUCUGGCCACAUGGCACAAAUGGACAACCCAUACAUUUGGAGAGACUCCAAGAAAUCCAUCCGAAGCUCUGAAUGGUCCUGGCCCUGUUCCAAAAUUUUACUAACCUUCCACAAAUUGGGAUUCCAGACACGUUCUUACCUUGGCCUCCAGGAUAAUGGAAGCCACAAAAGAGACAGAAAUUAAAAUGUCAGCCCAGCUGGGCCCCACAAUGUGGGCCAGCAAUUACAGUGGAACCCACUGCCUCUUAGAUCACCUUAGUGCAGAACAUCUGUGUUUCCUGCAACAAAGAUAAUAAAAUAAUCCAGAGCCCUGUCUUACAUGUUCCUUAACUCUGCGUAAAUACAGUGCGCUACUUAACAAUAGCAACCAAGAUGUUAAUGCACAACAGGAAAAUGUUCAAAAUCAGGUGAAAAGCAGAGAUCAGAAUUCCAGCAAGCUUUGUAAUUCAGCCACCACCCUCAUCACUCAGGACCUAAAUAACCUGAAAUAUGUGAUCGAGGCUGGAGAGGCAAGUAAAACAUGGCUUUGUUAUUCUCUGCCUGAGAAGGGUAUCACCCAAACCUUCUCACUUACUAAAGAUUCUGACAGAUGAGUAGUAUGCCAUGUCCUUGCAGAUGGAGAAAAGAAUAUCCACAGCAAAGGUGACACCUUCGAGGUCAUACACUUUGUGGGAUCAUGACAGAAGUUCAAAACAUCAACUUGAAAAAGACAAGUGAAACUGAGGACCAAAGUUGGAAACCCCACCACUGACAGAAGCUGAAGUAAUCUGUUGUUUUCUGGGCUCUGAAGGUGCUGAUUUCAGUGUCUGUGAUGUUACAUCCGAGAGUCUUUGCUGGGUUUGAAACUGAGUGCUCCAAGCAAGUGGAUACCUUUUCUUCUUCUGCUAUCCCAGGGAAACACUGAGAUUAUUUCAGCAAAAAUAACGUUUCUGCCAAUCUGCAUCAUAACUCAGAGAGGCAGCUGGUCAAGUUAGCAAAGAAAACUGAUAUUUAGUCCUAAAGGAGCUUGGUUAAACUUUCGCUUUGUCUUUUUAUAUUUUGAUACAACAGUAUGGAGAUAGGUUAUCUUCUUACAGUAUUUGUCACCUGCUUUGUGAUUAUUUUUUUACUUGGAUGCCUUCUCCAUGAGAUUAUAUGCUUGAUAAGGACAGUUUUCCUCACCAUUGUAUCAUCAAUACAAUAAACAUUUUUGUUAAGAGAUGAAUAAAGAAAGUCAAUGCAGGGGGCCAGCCCAGUGGCAUAGUAGUUAAGUUUGUGCACUCUGCUUCCUCAGUCCAGGGUUUGUGGGUUCAGAUCCCAGGUAAGGACCUACACACCACUUAUCAAGCUGUGGUGGUGACCCACAUACAAAAGAGAGGAAGAUUAGCACAGACGUUAGGGCCAAUCUUCCUCACAAAUAAAUAAAUAAAAAGCUCCAUAUGAAGGGAGUGAUUAUGACUCUGUUCAUUCAUUCAAUAAAUAUUUAUUGAGCACCUACAAUAUACAGGCACAUCUUCUUUCCAGGCUUUAUGUUUAGACCAUUUUUUGAACUGUUUCUCAUGUCAUGGGAAUUCUGGACAAAUGCUGGUGUUCCUUCCUUAGAAGGACUCCACUGUGUUGAGGCGUCCCCCUUAAAAUACAGCUUCCAGAGCAGAGCAUGAUAACAUCCAUUCAUUAGUGUUACACAUUCUUGAAGUGCCAGCCAUGUGCCAGGCAUGAAGGUAACAGCGAUGAAUCAGAUACAGUUUUGUGCUCAGAGGACUCACUGCCCAGAAGGAGGAGGUUGCCCAGUAAACAAGAUAGUACAGCACAGGAAGCGACAGCAGAACCCGAAUGAUGGAAUGGCCAAUUCUCCUUGGAGAGGGGAAUCUGGAAAUGCUUCCCACACAGGGGAGGUGAAUCAGGAUAAGAGUGUGGACUUCUGACAGGUGGAUGGAGCUGGGAGAGGGUAUUCCAGAAAGAGUCAGCUGCCUGAGCAAAUGCAGGGAGGAAUGAAAUAGCCUAGUGAGUUCAAGGAACUGCAACGGCUUUGACAGGGCAGGAAUGUGGGUUGUGAGAUGGGGGUACAAAAGAGGUAUGACCAGAAAGUUAGGCAGGGUAGAGCUUUGAAUGCCAAACUGAGAAGCUUGGAUUUUUUUCCUACAAGGUGAUAAGGAGUCUCUAAUGUUUCUAGAGAAGGGAGAUAACACGAUUAGGUUUACAUUGUAGAAAGACACUUUGAAGGUGUGUGGCCUGGGGGCUGGACCUCUAGGAAACUGAGUCAGGGAGACCAGCUGAGAGACCAGAUCAUCUGGGUGAGAGAUGCAAUGGGAUUCCAUGUGGGCAAUAGCUGUGAGGAUGGAAAGAAGGGGAUGGUCUAAGGCAGUGAAGACUCAUGGGCAGGCUGUGCUGCAGGACUUGGCUACUCAAAGUGGG